GAUCCUGGCUCAGGAUGAACGCUGGCGGCGUGCUUAACACAUGCAAGUCGAGCGAAGCACAUAAGUUUGAUUCUUCGGAUGAAGACUUUUGUGACUGAGCGGCGGACGGGUGAAGGUAACGCGUGGGUAACCUGCCUCAUACAGGGGGAUAACAGUUAGAAAUGGCUGCUAAUACCGCAUAAGACCACAGUACUGCAUGGUACAGUGGUAAAAACUCCGGUGGUAUGAGAUGGACCCGCG
rnacentral:rRNA from 1 species